UUACGCUGUUAUCCCUAAGGUAAUUUAUGCUUAUAAUCAAAAAUAUUGGAUCAGAAUUCUAAAAAUAAAUAUUAAUCAAAAAAUAGAGUUAAUUAUAUCUACCCAUCACCCCAACAAAAUAAAUAAUAACUUACAAAUAAAUAAAAAACAAAUAAUAAAAUAGUAAAUAUUAAAUUCUAUAGGGUCUUCUCGUCCCAUAAAAAAAUUUAAGCUUUCUCACUCAAUAAUUAAAUUCAAUAAAAUAUUAAAAAAAGACAACUUGUAUCUCGUUAAACCAUUCAUUCCAGUCCCCAAUUAAAAGACUAAUGAUUAUGCUACCUUUGCACGGUCAAAAUACCGCGGCCAUUUAAUAAUAAUCAGUGGGCAGGCUUUACCUCAAAAAUAAUUCAGAGAAAAUGUUUUUGUUAAACAGGCG
rnacentral:rRNA from 1 species